rnacentral:lncRNA from 1 species
GAGGGCACUGGUGGUUCUUGUAGGCUGAGGGGACUGAGGAGAGAGAAGAAUGGGGCUAUUGUCUGCAGGACUAGGAGGCAGACAAAGAGGCUGCUACUUUACCAUAGUGUGGUAGCCUCUUCUGCUGACUGGCCCUUCUGUGGGACAUGCUGUGGGUGGGAUGCAGCUGUUCCUAAGCACUGUGCUAGGGGAGUUGGGGCAGCUUCUGACUGCCUCUUGCCUUCAUAUGAUUCAUGGCCAAUUGUGGGUGCUCAGCUGUUCCCACCUGCAGUUCCACACUGGGGUUCUUUAAACACGCUGGACGGCUGCCAAGCACAGUGGCACACACCUUUAGUCCCAGCUCUUGGGGAGGCAAAGGCAGGCAGAUUGCUGUGAGUUUGAGACCAGACAGCCAGGUCUACAUAGAGAGUUCCAGGGCAGAGCCAAGGCUACAUAGAGAGACCUUGUCUUUUUUUUUAAAAAAAAAAAAAAAAA